AGCGAACGCUGGCGGCAGGCCUAACACAUGCAAGUCGAACGAACCUUUCGGGGUUAGUGGCGGACGGGUGAGUAACACGUGGGAACGUGCCUUUAGGUUCGGAAUAACUCAGGGAAACUUGUGCUAAUACCGAAUGUGCCCUUCGGGGGAAAGAUUUAUCGCCUUUAGAGGGGCCCGCGUCUGAUUAGCUAGUUGGUUGAGGUAAUGGCUCACCAAGGCGACGAUCAGUAGCUGGUCUGAGAGGAUGAUCUGCCACAUUGGGACUGAGACACGGCCCAAACUCCUACGGGAGGCAGCAGUGGGGAAUCUUGCGCAAUGGGCGAAAGCCUGACGCAGCCAUGCCGCGUGAAUGAUGAAGGUCUUAGGAUUGUAAAAUUCUUUCACCGGGGACGAUAAUGACGGUACCCGGAGAAGAAGCCCCGGCUAACUUCGUG
rnacentral:rRNA from 1 species